GACGAACGCUGGCGGCGUGCUUAACACAUGCAAGUCGAACGGUAAGGCCCUUCGGGGUACACGAGUGGCGAACGGGUGAGUAACACGUGGGUGAUCUGCCCUGCACUUCGGGAUAAGCCUGGGAAACUGGGUCUAAUACCGGAUAGGACCACUGCCUACAUGGGUGGUGGUGGAAAGCUUUUGCGGUGUGGGAUGGGCCCGCGGCCUAUCAGCUUGUUGGUGGGGUGAUGGCCUACCAAGGCGACGACGGGUAGCCGGCCUGAGAGGGUGACCGGCCACACUGGGACUGAGAUACGGCCCAGACUCCUACAGGAGGCAGCAGUGGGGAAUAUUGCACAAUGGGCGCAAGCCUGAUGCAGCGACGCCGCGUGAGGGAUGACGGCCUUCGUGUUGUAAACCUCUUUCAGCACCGACGAAGCGCAAGUGACGGUAGGUGCAGAAGAAGGACCGGCCAACUACGUGCCAGCCGCCGCAGUAA
rnacentral:rRNA from 1 species